rnacentral:tRNA from 1 species
GCGGGAAUAGCUCAGUUGGUAGAGCACAACCUUGCCAAGGUUGGGGUUGCGAGUUCGAGCCUCGUUUCCCGCU